GGAUUAUCCCAUCAGGAAUCUGAUUCCAGAAAUCCUCUUGUCCUGGAUUCAAGAGAAUGAAUCAAGAAAGUAAAAGGAGAUGAAAAAGAGCAAGAAGAGGAAAUGGGCCACAGAGCAGAACGGCACAACGAAGGCUUCCAUGGGGCUCCCUCUGUGUUGAAUUGAUGCACCAGAGGCAGCAGACAUAUCCGCAAUUCAGGGACUUCCCUCGUGGUCCAAUGGAUAAGACUAUAUGCUCCCAAUUCAGGGGGCUCAGGGUUGAUCCCUGGUGGGGGAACUAGAUCCCGCGUGCAUGCCGCAACUAAGACGCCUUCGUACCUCAACCGAAGAUCCCACGUGCCGCAACUAAGACCCGGUGCAGCAAAAAUGAAUAAAUAAAUGUUUAAAAAAAUUUUCCCCACAUAUUUUGGCUUUUUCCCUUCAAAUAUAAAAAGGCUGGAGAGGCUUUAGUUCUUGAGUGACAGUU